AGAUUAAGUUAUUAAGGGCGCACGGUGGAUGCCUUGGCACUAGAAGCCGAUGAAGGACGUUACUAACGACGAUAUGCUUUGGGGAGCUGUAAGUAAGCUUUGAUCCAGAGAUUUCCGAAUGGGGAAACCCAGCAUGAGUUAUGUCAUGUUAUCGAUAUGUGAAUACAUAGCAUAUCAGAAGGCACACCCGGAGAACUGAAACAUCUUAGUACCCGGAGGAAGAGAAAGAAAAUUCGAUUCCCUUAGUAGCGGCGAGCGAAAUGGGAAGAGCCCAAACCAACAAGCUUGCUUGUUGGGGUUGUAGGACACUCUAUACGGAGUUACAAAGGACGACAUUAGACGAAUCAUCUGGAAAGAUGAAUCAAAGAAGGUAAUAAUCCUGUAGUCGAAAAUGUUGUCUCUCUUGAGUGGAUCCUGAGUACGACGGAGCACGUGAAAUUCCGUCGGAAUCUGGGAGGACCAUCUCCUAAGGCUAAAUACUCUCUAGUGACCGAUAGUGAACCAGUACCGUGAGGGAAAGGUGAAAAG
rnacentral:rRNA from 2 species